UACGUAGGGUGCGAGCGUUGUCCGGAAUUAUUGGGCGUAAAGAGCUUGUAGGCGGUUUGUCGCGUCUGCUGUGAAAAUCCGGGGCUCAACCCCGGACUUGCAGUGGGUACGGGCAGACUAGAGUGUGGUAGGGGAGACUGGAAUUCCUGGUGUAGCGGUGAAAUGCGCAGAUAUCAGGAGGAACACCGAUGGCGAAGGCGGGUUGCUGGGCUGACACUGACGCUGAGGCGCGAAAGCCAGGGGAGCGAACGGG
rnacentral:rRNA from 1 species